UACGGGGGGAGCAAGCGUUGUUCGGAUUUACUGGGCGUAAAGGGCGCGUAGGCGGCCACCGCAAGUCGGUUGUGAAAUCUCCGGGCUUAACCCGGAAAGGUCAAUCGAUACUGCGGGGCUAGAGUGCAGAAGGGGCAACUGGAAUUCUCGGUGUAGCGGUGGAAUGCGUAGAGAUCGGGAAGAACAUCAGUGGCGAAGGCGGCCUGCUGGGCUGUUGCUGACGCUGAGGCGCGACAGCGUGGGGAGCAAACAGG
rnacentral:rRNA from 1 species